AAGGAAGCAGAUACUAAACAAAUGCAGAAACGCGAUGUUUAGAAACUCGAACCAAUAUUUUAUUUACAGUUCACGAAUACAACUUAGUUCACAGCUUGGUGAAAAUUCAUAGUAUAUUACAAGUUGGGACUUACAUGGCCCACUUCUCAAGUUGGACACAAUAGUCAAAGAGAAAGGAAAAAGGUAAUAGUAGAAUGUUGGAGCAAUAGCCGGCCACCCCUCUGCACUUCCAUCUCUUCAGCCACCGGCAAGAGUCUUUCAGCCGUCUUCCAUGGCUGCCCAGUUCCCUCAAAUCUCUACCUCCAGCCACCCUAUGCCUGCUCAUUUUCGCUAGCAUACUCAAGUAUGCAGCAACAAACCCUUCUAUUAAUACCAACCCAGCCAGCAAAUGCUAUUUUUCACUCUCAGUUCUUUUCAGCAGAAACUUGAAGAACAGCCCCCAUGUUUCUACCAAAGCUCUCAAGGUAAAGCUUGGCUUCAAUAAUUUCAUCUCUUUUCAUCAAAGUUCACCUGCAUUAACAGAAGGACCAAUUCAUUUCAGUUAUCUCCCUAGUUAAAACUACUCAAGUUCAGCAAAUAGUUCAUCAAUCAAACGAAGCAACUUCACGUCAUUUCACAAUCUAUUCAACUUCAACAGCCACCCAUCAGCUCGAAAACAUUCAAGGUAUUCUACUAUCUUGAAUAUUCAAUUCAGUUCGCAUCCAUGCUUAGCAUAAUCACAGUUCAUCUACACGAAAUAGCCAAGAUAUGUUGUACAAUAGGGAAAUACUUUACAACAGAAGGAUUUACAUGCUUCACUUUCACUGCACUCUAGAAUAGCAGUUACGAGAACUCACGACCACAAAAACUAGGACUUUGAAUCGAAUUGGGAUGAGUUACUUAGCUUUGGAAAAAGGGGCCGACUGCCCAAGCAAUUGCCGAGCCCCAACUGCCGGAACGGAGGGAGAAGGCGGCGACCUCUCGUCGUCUCGCCUGCAUCAGAGUAACAACGACGUCGAGGCUGGAGAAUCGCUGAGGCCGACCGGAACCAUGGCCAAGCAGGGGCUCGAGCGCAGCAGCAGCGGACGCUCGACAACGGCGUUCUUCCCUUUCCUGAGGUCUAGGGCUCGACGUCGGCGAAGGCUAUGAGGCCGAGAGUUGAACGGCGCCGCUUCCAGGCGGCGGCCGCUCGCCGGAUUCAGACAAGGAUGCGGCUGCGACGAGGAUUUCCAGAGUUAGGGCUCGAUUCAGGGCUCGCCUUUUUGCCAUGGACGAGUUCAACAGGAGAACAGGGGAGAAGAGCGCCGGAGUUGUGUGCGCCGGCAGCUGAGUGGCCGGAGAAGGCAGGGCCGAUCGAUUUGGAGAAGAGGCCGAGCGGCCGGCCUUGAGGAAGAAAGAGAGUGUCGGUCUUUGAGUUGAGAGAGUGAGAGCAGAUCGUGUUCUGCUUGGAGAGAGAGAGAGCCGAAGUGUUUUGGGAUGGGCUCCUCAUUUAUUUGAUUUGGGCCUUUCUCUUUUAGUUGUAAUUUGGG
rnacentral:lncRNA from 1 species